GGAAUCUUCCGCAAUGGACGAGAGUCUGACGGAGCAACGCCGCGUGAGUGAAGAAGGUUUUCGGAUCGUAAAACUCUGUUGUUAGGGAAGCGGUACCUAACCAGAAAGCCACGGCUAACUACGUGCCAGCAGCCGCGGUAAUACGUAGGUGGCAAGCGUUGUCCGGAAUUAUUGGGCGUAAAGCGCGCGCAGGUGGUUCCUUAAGUCUGAUGUGAAAGCCCCCGGCUCAACCGGGGAGGGCAUUGGAAACUGGGGAACUUGAGUGCAGGAGAGGAAAGUGGAAUUCCACGUGUAGCGGUGAAAUGCGUAGAUAUGUGGAGGAACACCAGUGGCGAAGGCGACUUUCUGGCCUGUAACUGACACUGAGGCGCGAAAGCGUGGGGAGCAAACAGGAUUAGAUACCUUGUAGU
rnacentral:rRNA from 1 species